CAUGGUUCAAGUAUGAAAAUAUCUUAUGGUGGGACCAUAUCAUUUAUGCGUUCGAUUUUGGUCAUAAAAUUUGUUGCAUAUUUUUAGUUUCACUUUCAUCUCAUCAUACCGUGAAAUACAAAAUUAACAUCAUACGAAUACGUCAUACACUGUAAAAUAAGCGAAUAAGUUGAUAUUUGAAUACAAUCUAUGAUGGUUUUAAUCUUAUACAUUCAAAUUGAUUGAACAAAAUAAAAGUUAUGAUCAUUUACGGCGUCCUUAAAAGAGAAAGUCAAAUAUCGAUCGUCGCUAUUGAAUUAAGAGAAUAAUAUUUCAUGCUUCUGUAUCUAUUACAAUAACACGCAUUGGAAAUAUAGAUUUACAUAUUUACUGUGCUAUAGUGCACUUUAUUGAAAUAUGGAAAAACAAUAAAUAACAUGACAAGAAGAUCGUGACUGUAUUUCGUAUUGAAUUCAACUUUUUAUGGUCUGGCGAAUUCGAUCCAUUGUGACAUCAGCGUUCGAUAAAACGUUGCACAAGACGUAAAGACCAAUAUGUUCAGAGCAAUAAAAUAUUUAACAACAAUUAGAGAAAGUAAAACCAAACGCGAAUAUUAUUAUUAUUAAGGAUUAAUAAUAGGAAUGAUAAAAUAUGCGUUAAUAUACCAACAGUUUGACAAUGGUAAUAUAAUGUUAUUGAUUUGUCUUUCUAAAUAUUAUAUUGAAAACUACAACCAAACAUUUAAAUAAAUUGUAUCGACAGCAAAGAAGUUUAAUUAAUCAUUUAAAGACUUGAAUUGAAAUUCAGCAUUGGGAUACGCAACAACAUUGAUCCAAAACAGAAUUUUGUUUAUAUUUUUUGAAAGCAAUUUGUUGAAAGUUUCUUUUUGGUAUUCGUAAGUUUACAUCACUCACAGUGAGAUCAAAAAUUAACAAAACUACAUCGGCAAAAAAUUGGUCGGUAGAUGUCACCGUAGAGCAACAUAGAAAAUCUGAUAAUCGGAUGAUAAUUCUUUACAAACACAAAAGAUUUAUUUGAAGCGAUUGAAUUAAAAAAUUCGAACUAUUGAAAUUUAAAACUUCGGCCACACAAUCUUUUUUUUUAUAUUAUAUUAGGGAAUUCCUAAUUAAUAGCUCACAAAGCGGCAGUCUUGAACGUUCGAUUUACUUUAAUGCCUUUAGUAUUUAUGUGUAUAUAGUGAUGAUUAAAAACAAUCAAAUCGAUGAAAUAUGUACAAACUGACCAAUAAAAUCACAGAGACGUCUGCAAGGUGACGCAGAUGCAGUAACGUCAGAUUAAUCAAACCACGACAUGGAUGGAACCUCGAUCACUAAAUGGAUGAAAAGUCCCGCUGGGAAAUUGAACAAGUUUUGUCGGACAUGCAUUUCCGUCUCGUUUCCACCAGUGCCCAUGUUUAUGGUAUUAUACUCUAUGUCUCUAUCAAAAAUGUAAACUAUCGAGAUGAGAGUACGUGCGAACUGAAAUUUGUCCUGGGAAUUGUCAUGCUAAAUCAAACAGUUUAGGUAUUUCACCAAAUAUCAAAAAAUAUUUCAAAAUACACCUUGGCAACUUUUUGUCGAUGUUUUCUUGAACAUUUUCCUCGAACGUUCAUUUUCGUUCGUCUUUGUUUGAUUCCGAUAUAUUAUUCACAAAACAACGAGGCGCUAGAAAUCCCCGCUUAAAUGUUCAAUUCAAUUAAUUUGAUGUUAACAACAUUGGUCGCAUAUUUACGUCUGUUAAUUGCUACAUUCAUUAAUGCAUCAAUGUCCGCCCUUAUUCCAUACAAUAUUUCAAACUUUGAAUUACGAAUAAUUAUGAUCUAAGAUCUUCCUCUACUAUUCACAUUCUUUGAUAUUUUGAAUUAGCAAAUUAAAUUUUUUUAUCUUCACAACAUGAAUUUGAAAUAUUUCUCUCGCGGCCUGGAUGCGCAACACGUCAUGAGCAGUAUGAUAUAGAGAUUACUUUAUGGUUAAUUUAUCAUUAUCUUAUGGUAGAAUCCUAUUAUUGUAUGCGUUUGAUAUUGGCAAUAAAACUUGUUGCAUA